CGAAGAUUCAAAAAAAGUAUGUUGUUUCUAAUUGAAAAAGACAAUCAAAAAUAUAAAUAAUUUCUUUAUAUUUCACGGCUCUCGCUUCCACGGUUUGUGUAUAAGUCUAAUGUUGUGAACUAUCCACCAGAACCAGUUUCGGACUUUCUAUUCGGACUGACUAUUUCAGAGUUUUCCACUAUUUAAUAGCUGAGCCUGGCGGGAGCUUGGUAUGUGCUGAGCAACUAUCGCGACCUGUGCGGUGGUACAGUCCUAUUGCCCAAAUGUAAAUGUAAAGUUUAGGAUUUAUUCAAUUGCAAGGGUUCUAACUGGUUAUUGGCCUAGUACUGGUGUUCAUGUAGUAUGGUUAAAAUUCUUACCGAAUGACAGUUGGAGAAUCUUAAGACCUUUAGAAUUUCAGUUGAGCUGAAAAUCUGAAGCAGAAAUAUCUAAAAUCUUGUUCAGAAGCCGAUACACUAUUCCAUAUGUUAUUGAUCGCUUUAAAAAAGUUAGGCUGAUGACUAGAGAAGCUUAAAAUUUCAAAUUCACAUUGCGUGCGUGCCUUUUUUACUUUUAUCAAGUUAACGACCCGCUGAUCUCAACCUCAUUGAGCACUUGUGAAAUAAGUUAGAGCAAAAAUACAGAAAAAGAGAAAUUCGAACUGACCUAAAAGCAAUUCUACAGGAGGAGUGGAACAAAAUUGAUAAAAUAUCUUUUAAUACAAGUAUCUUCGUCAAUGCCUGGAUAUGAAAUAUAUCGUAUAUAUAAGUUGGAGAAAAUUUUCUGCGUUCGAAAUGAAAAAAUACUGUUUUUGCUCUGCAAAAUAUUCGUCUACGGCUUUAAUAGCUUCUUCAUUCGACGAAAAGCGCUUUCCACGAAGGAAUUGUUUCAGGUUGCUGAAAAGGUAUUAGGCGCUGGGAGCCAAAUCUGGUGUAUACGGUGGAUGCUCAAGCCAUUGUCUUGAUGAAAACUUAUUUUUUUUGUGCUACUCCAAAUUAGGCUGAGAAUUUUGUUUUCGAUCCAGUUUUGUUCAUCUGAGAUGCCUCUUCACUAACAAUAUUAUGAACUUGCGCAAUGAUUUCUGGUGUGGUUGCGGUUUUUGGUCGUCCUUCGCGUGGAUCGCCUUCAAGCCUAGUACCGCCACGUUUAAAUUCACCGCUGCCUUUUGCUGCUGAGGACUCCUUAUACACUUCUAAAAAUUGUUCAUAAAUUCAGGUUUUUAAACCUUACAAAACAAAGAAUCUAAUCAAAACAAAGAAUCUAAAAAAAGAAUUUGGCACGUCAACUUCAAAUGGCUUGUAAAGAAAAAAUUAAUUGACAGAAUGACUUUUAACUUUGCAUGUGUUCUCACGACCAAAUUGAGAAGAAAAAAAUUUGUAGCUAGUAGUGAUAUUUCUUGAUGAGCACUACUCACUUUUGAAUCAACCUAUAUAUAUCUCGAUUUAUAUUAUUAUAUAUUUAUACAUCAAAAAUAAAUUCAUAUAUUUAAUGAAA